ensembl:snRNA U6 U6 spliceosomal RNA
GUGCCCACUUUGGCAGCACAUAUACUAAAAUUGGAAUGAUACAGAGGAAAUUAGCAUGGGCCCCGUGCAAGGAUGACAUGCAAGUUAAGAGGGGAAGAUUAAAUAAAA